rnacentral:rRNA from 1 species
AUUGAACGCUGGCGGCAGGCUUAACACAUGCAAGUCGAGCGGAGAGAGGUAGCUUGCUACCGAUCUUAGCGGCGGACGGGUGAGUAAUGCUUAGGAAUCUGCCAAUUAGUGGGGGACAACAUUUCGAAAGGAAUGCUAAUACCGCAUACGUCCUACGGGAGAAAGCAGGGGAUCUUCGGACCUUGCGCUAAUAGAUGAGCCUAAGUCGGAUUAGCCAGUUGGUGGGGUAAAGGCCUACCAAGGCGACGAUCUGUAGCGGGUCUGAGAGGAUGAUCCGCCACACUGGGACUGAGACACGGCCCAGACUCCUACGGGAGGCAGCGGUGGGGAAUAUUGGACAAUGGGCGGAAGCCUGAUCCAGCCAUGCCGCGUGUGUGAAGAAGGCCUUAUGGUUGUAAAGCACUUUAAGCGAGGAGGAGGCUACUUUAGUUAAUACCUAGAGAUAGUGGACGUUACUCGCAGAAUAAGCACCGGCUAACUCUGUGCCAGCCGCCGCCGUAAUAC